CAUAUCAUUGAGCUUAGUCCUCACCACGUUUAUUAGGAGCUUUGUCCUCCGCACGUUUUAUAGGAGCUUUGUCCUCCGCACGAUUAAAGUAUAUUAAUACUUAUGAUGACGAUUGGUACCUGUCAUACCCCAAUUUUGACCUAAGAUCCCACCAACGCGGAUCACCUUACCCUAUAUAUUUUCAGAAAAAAUUCGGCAGAGAGGUAUUUUAAAAUACCUCAUUUUUAUUCUGAAUCGGGCCAUCUUCUCUUUUCAUCUUUUAAAUUCCCGUCUCUUAUUAUUUCUCUCUUAACCUUUUAAUUUUUUGUUUUAAUCUUUGAUUCUAGUUAGUCAUUUUUAUUCUUUUUUAAUCACUUUUGUUUUAGUUUUUAUUAUUGUCCAAAAAUCCAAAAAGUCAAGGAGUCCGAAAUUCUCCAGCAGGGUCCAAAAAAUAUUUUUUUCACACGCCUCAUAUUCAGGCAGAUGCACAGGGUCAAGGUGUUGUUUCCAAAUCCAGUAACACGUUUAGCUAGCUGCAAGUUAUUUCCUUAUUUUCUUCAACCCUAGUGCUAUAAAUUGAACCUGCAUUCACAACACAAAAGACAGAGAAAAAACCCUAGCCGCAAUUCACAACACAAAACACAGAAAAAUUUCACAGCCGCAAACAAAAAACCCUAGCCGAAAACGAAGAAGAAAGAAAGACAAUUUUCCACAACUAAAAUCAUCAGAAAACCCUAAGCCACAAACCUAUAGACAGAAAUCAGAAACCUACAUCAACAAUCCUCCACACAAUCCAACACGAUAAACCGUCAGCUUCAAUACGAAACCCUUAACCACCUACAACACAGAACCGGACUGAACAAAAACGUGACGAAAACGGAGCAGAAAACUCAAACGGAGCCAAGUUCGCAUCACGCGGAGGUAAAGGAGAGAGUGAAUCGGAGCUUUUUCCUCGUUUCAAAAGUUUCAUCUCCGGAUCGUAAUAGAUCCAAAGAGGUGAUAAUUUCAUUAUCCUUUUCUUUUCUCGCAUUCAAAAGCUGUGUGCAUGGUUGUAUGACUUUCGAAAAAUGUUUUGGGAAAAAGUUUUGAAUCCGAAUCUUAACGUGUAGAUCUAGAGAAUUUCACUUUGAUUUUGAAAAAAAUAGGUUCGGAUUCGUGUUUAAAAUAAAAAAGGAUAUUCGAAUAUGUAAAAAAAAUGAAAAACGGAGAAGUUUCACAUCUCCGGCGCGGUGGCGCCGCCCUGUUGGGCCGGCAAACCACCACGCCGGAGCGGCGAAGCUCGCCGGAGAAGAUGAAGAUCUUCUUCUGGAUUUUCGGAACUAUAAGAGAGAGAAGAGAGAGCUUUAGUGAGAAGAAGGAAGCUAGAGAGAGAAAUGAAAAUGAAAAAUGAAAAAAACCAGUCCACAGCCUAUUUAUACUGCUAGGCUGAACCGGUCCAACCCAGUAACCCGAACCGAACCGUUUUGCUUAAGCCCAAUUGUUUUUUUUAAUCUCACUACAGUCUUAUUAAUCACACCUCUGUCUUUUACUUUCUGCACAUCUUUGCUAAGAAAAUUAUCUAAAAACUUACAAAAAAAAUGUGUUUGGUUUCAUUUUUUUUAUUUACUGUUUUUAUAUUAUAAUUGCCCUUUUUAUUUUUAGAAUCAUUUCAUGCAUAUUUUAAUGUCUUGUCAUUUUAUUGUCAUUAAUUAUUUUUUUUUUUUAGUGUGUAUAAUUAGGAAGUUGAUGUAAUUUACCUUGCGCAUUUUUUAUCUUUUUCCAUUAUUAUAUUUCUCUUGAGACCGUAGAAUGUAUCUAGGAAUUGAUGUAAUAAUGUAGUUAACACAAGCACCGACACUUGCACGACACCCCCACAAUUUAUUUACCGUUUGUCGCUCGUUAUUUUUCCUAUGCCGUCACGCUAGUCUACCGUUUAGUUUAGAGAAAAAUCUUUUCACCUAAAAAACCUAAAUAUGUCAAAUUCAAAAAUCAUUCCUUCAACAACAUUUUUUUUCCUUUAUUUUUCUUAAUCAAAUUCUCAACCAAUCUUAAUUACACUUCAAUCAUUUUUUUCUUACUUUAAAAUCAAUCCACCUCACUUGUUUCUUUUAUCUCAUGCCUAGAGGCCUCUUUCUUUUCUUAAAACCAUUUUCAAAAACCUUAAAAUCAACCCAACCCACCAAAAAGAAAUUUUUUAGGUGAACUACAUUGGUUUUGAUCCCUUUUCUUUAAGGGUAUGUAGGCAUAGGAUUUUUAUCCUUCCAAAUCAAAUAAAAAUAACCAAAACCAUACUUCUUCUUCCCCCAUUCUUUCACUUAGAUUUUUAGGUAAAUAACUUUCAAAUAAGCAAUGAAUUUAGCACAAGAUAAAUUAGGCAAGAGGUUCCUAUAUAAUACCAUAGACGCUUAGGGUGCUAGCACCUUCCCUUCGCGUAAUCAACCCCCGAAUCCAAAGUCUCGAUAAGGGUUUUUACUCAUUUUUUCCCUUCCCACGAAUAAAAAUUGAGAGUUCAAAGAUUGACGAUUCAAAUCAAUUAAUGGUUUGAUAUCCGAAAAUCGCGAGCACAGAAAUACCUCAUUUUUAUUCUGAAUCGGGCCAUCUUCUCUUUUCAUCUUUUAAAUUCCCGUCUCUUAUUAUUUCUCUCUUAACCUUUUAAUUUUUUGUUUUAAUCUUUGUUUCUAGUUAGUCAUUUUUAUUCUUUUUUAAUCACUUUUGUUUUAGUUUUUAUUAUUGUCCAAAAAUCCAAAAAGUCAAGGAGUCCGAAAUUCUCCAGCAGGGUCCAAAAAAUAUUUUUUUCACACGCCUCAUAUUCAGGCAGAUGCACAGGGUCAAGGUGUUGUUUCCAAAUCCAGUAACACGUUUAGCUAGCUGCAAGUUAUUUCCUUAUUUUCUUCAACCCUAGUGCUAUAAAUUGAACCUGCAUUCACAACACAAAAGACAGAGAAAAAACCCUAGCCGCAAUUCACAACACAAAACACAGAAAAAUUUCACAGCCGCAAACAAAAAAGCCUAGCCGAAAACGAAGAAGAAAGAAAGACAAUUUUCCACAACUAAAAUCAUCAGAAAACCCUAAGCCACAAACCUAUAGACAGAAAUCAGAAACCUACAUCAACAAUCCUCCACACAAUCCAACACGAUAAACCGUCAGCUUCAAUACGAAACCCUUAACCACCUACAACACAGAACCGGACUGAACAAAAACGUGACGAAAACGGAGCAGAAAACUCAUACGGAGCCAAGUUCGCAUCACGCGGAGGUAAAGGAGAGAGUGAAUCGGAGCUUUUUCCUCGUUUCAAAAGUUUCAUCUCCGGAUCGUAAUAGAUCCAAAGAGGUGAUAAUUUCAUUAUCCUUUUCUUUUCUCGCAUUCAAAAGCUGUGUGCAUGGUUGUAUGACUUUCGAAAAAUGUUUUGGGAAAAAGUUUUGAAUCCGAAUCUUAACGUGUAGAUCUAGAGAAUUUCACUUUGAUUUUGAAAAAAAUAGGUUCGGAUUCGUGUUUAAAAUAAAAAAGGAUAUUCGAAUAUGUAAAAAAAAUGAAAAACGGAGAAGUUUCACAUCUCCGGCGCGGUGGCGCCGCCCUGUUGGGCCGGCAAACCACCACGCCGGAGCGGCGAAGCUCGCCGGAGAAGAUGAAGAUCUUCUUCUGGAUUUUCGGAACUAUAAGAGAGAGAAGAGAGAGCUUUAGUGAGAAGAAGGAAGCUAGAGAGAGAAAUGAAAAUGAAAAAUGAAAAAAACCAGUCCACAGCCUAUUUAUACUGCUAGGCUGAACCGGUCCAACCCAGUAACCCGAACCGAACCGUUUUGCUUAAGCCCA
rnacentral:lncRNA from 1 species